rnacentral:misc_RNA from 1 species
GUUCGAGCGUCAUUAAACAUCCUCAAGUUCUACUUGGUGUUGGGCUAUGCUGCUAACACAGCUAGCUCUAAAAUCAGUGGCAGUUGUCACCAGCUCUAAGCGUAGUAAUUAUCCUCGCUUUUGCGCUUGGUGGUAGCCCGCCAGCAACCCCUAAUCUCGUGUUUGACCUCGGAUCGUGUAGGAGUACCCGCUGAACUUAA